rnacentral:rRNA from 1 species
AUUGAACGCUGGCGGAAUGCUUUACACAUGCAAGUCGAACGGCAGCAUAGAGAGCUUGCUCUCUGAUGGCGAGUGGCGAACGGGUGAGUAAUAUAUCGGAACGUGCCUAGUAAUGGGGAAUAACUAGCUGAAAGGUUAGCUAAUGCCGCAUACGACCUACGGGUGAAAGCAGGGGAUCUUCGGACCUUGCGUUAUUAGAGCGGCCGAUAUCUGAUUAGCUUGUUGGUGGGGUAAUGGCCUACCAAGGCGACGAUCAGUAGCUGGUCUGAGAGGACGAUCAGCCACACUGGAACUGAGACACGGCCCAGACUCCUACGGGAGGCAGCAGUGGGGAAUUUUGGACAAUGGGGGCAACCCUGAUCCAGCCAUUCCGCGUGAGUGAAGAAGGCCUUCGGGUUGUAAAGCUCUUUCGCAAGAGAAGAAAACUUGCUAUCUAAUAAAUAGUAAGUAUGACGGUAUCUUGACAAGAAGCACCGGCUAACUACG